rnacentral:lncRNA from 1 species
GGUGCCAUCCUCACGACCAUGCUUGUCUCCAGGAACUUCUCAGCUGCCAAAAGCCUAUUGAACAAGAAGUCGGAUGGCGGUGUCAAGCCACAGAGCAACAACAAAAACAGUCUCGAGCCACAAACCACUGUGGUACACAACGCUACAGAUGGGAUCAAGGGCUCCACAGAGAGCUGCAACACCACCACAGAAGAUGAGGACCUCAAAGCUCGGUGCCUGAAGGACGGAGCUCCCGGGACAGAACAGCCCCCUCUGCAGGCAUGCAGCCCCAGCCUUCUCUCUGCUCCUCAGCCAUGCGAAAACAGGAGAUCAUUAAGAUUACAGAACAGCUGAUUGAAGCCAUCAACAAUGGGGACUUUGAGGCCUACACGAAGAUUUGUGAUCCAGGCCUCACUUCCUUUGAGCCUGAGGCCCUUGGUAACCUCGUGGAGGGGAUGGAUUUCCAUAAGUUUUACUUUGAGAAUCUCCUGUCCAAGAACAGCAAGCCUAUCCAUACCACCAUCCUAAACCCA